UACGUAGGGUGCAAGCGUUGUCCGGAAUUAUUGGGCGUAAAGAGCUCGUAGGCGGUCUGUCGCGUCGGCUGUGAAAUCCCGGAGCUCAACUCCGGGUCUGCAGUCGAUACUGGCAAACUGGAGUACUGCAGGGGAGACUGGAAUUCCUGGUGUAGCGGUGAAAUGCGCAGAUAUCAGGAGGAACACCGGUGGCGAAGGCGGGUCUCUGGGCAGUAACUGACGCUGAGGAGCGAAAGCGUGGGGAGCGAACAGG
rnacentral:rRNA from 1 species